AUGAACGCUGGCGGCGUGCCUAAUACCUGCAAGUCGAGCGCACAGACGAGGAGCUUGCUCCUCUGACGUUAGCGGCGGACGGGUGAGUAACACGUGGAUAACCUACCUAUAAGACUGGGAUAACUUCGGGAAACCGGAGCUAAUACCGGAUAAUAUAUUGAACCGCAUGGUUCAAUAGUGAAAGACGGUUUUGCUGUCACUUAUAGAUGGAUCCGCGCCGCAUUAGCUAGUUGGUAAGGUAACGGCUUACCAAGGCAACGAUGCGUAGCCGACCUGAGAGGGUGAUCGGCCACACUGGAACUGAGACACGGUCCAGACUCCUACGGGAGGCAGCAGUAGGGAAUCUUCCGCAAUGGGCGAAAGCUUGACGGAGCAACGCCGCGUGAGUGAUGAAGGUCUUCGGAUCGUAAAACUCUGUUAUUAGGGAAGAACAAAUGUGUAAGUAACUAUGCACGUCUUGACGGUACCUAAUCAGAAAGCCACGGCUAGCUACGUG
rnacentral:rRNA from 1 species